UACGUAGGGACCAAGCGUUGUUCGGAUUUACUGGGCGUAAAGGGCGCGUAGGCGGCUUAACAAGUCACUUGUGAAAUCUCCGGGCUUAACUCGGAACGGCCAAGUGAAACUGUCAAGCUAGAGUGCAGAAGGGGCAAUCGGAAUUCUUGGUGUAGCGGUGAAAUGCGUAGAUAUCAAGAGGAACACCUGAGGUGAAGACGGGUUGCUGGGCUGACACUGACGCUGAGGCGCGGAAGCCAGGGGAGCAAACGGG
rnacentral:rRNA from 1 species